GCCCUAACCCCACGCCUCCCACCCCCAAUCCAAAGCUCUCAGUCUCAGCCUCUCACCGUCGCGCUCUCCUCUCUGCAGUGGCGCACCACCCUCGCACCACAGCCUGAACGAUCCUCGCACACAGCGCACGACCCUCGUCCCUCGCAGGCUCGCACCCAGCGCCAGCAGUAGCAGAGCCCGAGCCUCCUUCCUCGCACCCAGCAGUAGCAGAGCCCGAGCCUCGCAACCUCGCACCCAGCAGUAGCAGAGCCACAACCCUCGCCAGUCGCCACCCACAGCACAGCACCCACCAGUCACCGAUAAGUCUCCCACUCAGUCAUCGAUUCAAGUCAGAUAUGGAGCCCGAGCCACCGAAUCAGGUUGGUUUGCAUUAUGAAGUUUUAGCUAUUUUAUUGGAGAAGACACCAUAACUUUGUUAAUUGCUAUCAGUUUAAUGACAAUUUAUUUUUAUUUUCAGUUGUGUUGACUAUUGAGCUAUUAAACUUCUUUAAUUGUCGUUAUAUUUCAUUAGAUCAAGACUUUGUUAGCUAUUGUGUAUUUUGGCUUGUUGAUUUCAAUCUUAUGACAUUGCAUAA